AUUUCGUCUCUUUCAGAAAGUUUGUCUACAUAUUUUAACCAAUUUUGGGCACGAUUGGUACACGACAUCAAGCUGAAUUAGUCGAAUAUUUCCCGUGCCCUACAUACAACCCGCCCUUCAUCCGUUUCAGAUAGUAUUUGUACAUAUUUUUACCAAUUUUGGAUCCGUUGGUAUGCGAUAUCAAGUUGAACGAGCCUAAUAUCUCCAUACCCACCAACUCGCCUCUCAACCGAUUGGUGAAACUCGAAAAACCGGUAUACGAGAUCAAAUUGAACUAGUCGAAUAUUUCCAGUGCCCUACAUGGAACUCGCCCUUCAACCGGUAGGUGAAAUUCUAAAAACCCGUAAAAAUAC